UACGGAAUGUGCAAACGUUAUUCGGAAUCACUGGGCUUAAAGAGUCCGUAGGCGGCAUGUUAGGUGAGGCGUGAAAUCCCCCGGCUCAACCGAGGAAUUGCGCUUCAAACCGGCGUGCUUGAGGAAGAUAGAGGUGGGCGGAACUGAUGGUGGAGCGGUGAAAUGCGUUGAUAUCAUCAGGAACACCGGGGGCGAAGGCGGCCCACUGGGUCUUUUGUGACGCUGAGGGACGAAAGCUAGGGGAGCGAACGGG
rnacentral:rRNA from 1 species